AUUAUACUCCCUCCGUCCAAAAAUACUUGUCAUCAAAAUGGAUAAAAAGAGAUGUAUCUAGAACUAAUAUACGUCUAGAUACAUUUCCUUUUAUUCAUUUUGAUGACAAGUAUUUCCGGACGGAGGGAGUAUGUU
rnacentral:pre_miRNA from 1 species